rnacentral:rRNA from 1 species
AUUGAACGCUGGCGGAAUGCUUUACACAUGCAAGUCGAACGGUAGAGGGGGCAACCCCUCGAGAGUGGCGAACGGGUGAGUAAUAUAUCGGAACGUGCCCAGUCGUGGGGGAUAACGUAGCGAAAGUUACGCUAAUACCGCAUACGAUCUAAGGAUGAAAGCGGGGGAUCGCAAGACCUCGCGCGAUUGGAGCGGCCGAUAUCAGAUUAGGUAGUUGGUGGGGUAAAGGCUCACCAAGCCAACGAUCUGUAGCUGGUCUGAGAGGACGACCAGCCACCCGGGAACUGAGCAACGGUCCAGACUCCUACGGGAGGCAGCAGUGGGGAAUUUUGGACAAUGGACGCAAGUCUGAUCCAGCCAUUCCGCGUGCAGGAUGAAGGCCCUCGGGUUGUAAACUGCUUUUGUACGGAACGAAAAGGUCUCUCUUAAUACGGGGGGCUCAUGACGGUACCGUAAGAAUAAGCACCGGCUAACUACGUGCCAGCCGCCGCAGUAA